CGCUUCUGGGUCACACGUAUUGAGAGCUCCGAGUGUUGAUGUUCUGUUCUGUUCUAAAAGUGAAUCUGAAUUGAUUGUUCUGUUCUAAUAUUAGCAGAGUCCGAAUUUUCAACCUCUAGAGGAGUCUGAAUUUUCAACCUCUGGAGGAGUCCGAAUGUUCAACCUCUUGAUUAAAACACGGAGGAGCAAUUUUGGUUUUUUCUAAUAUUAGCAGAGUCCGAAUUUUCAACCUCUAGAGGAGUCUGAAUUUUCAACCUCUGGAGGAGUCCGAAUGUUCAACCUCUUGAUUAAAACACGGAGGAGCAAUUUUGGUUUUUUCCCACUUUUAAAUGGGAUGACAAUUCUA
rnacentral:lncRNA from 1 species